rnacentral:lncRNA from 1 species
GGCACGGACCCCUCAACGGGGCUGUUACGGGGCUGCUGUGGGGCAGGAACCCCCCUAUGGGGCAGCUAUGAGGCGGUGACCCCCCUACAGGGCUGCUUUGGGGCAGCUAUGGGGCGGUGACCCCCCUAUGGGGCUGCUUUGGGGCAGCUAUGGGGCGGUGACCCCCCUAUGGGGCUGUUGUGGGGCAGCUAUGGGGCAGGAACCCCUCAGUGGGGCCGGUACAACCAUAGGGCACACGGGACCCCCCCACCCCCCCAUCUGUGCCCCUCAGCUGUGCCCCCCAUAUCUUGGGGCUGAGACCCCUCUAUGGGGCGGGGACCCCCUAUGGGGCAGAGGGGCCACCCCACGGGGUAAGCAAUGGGGCUGGGACCCCUAUAGGGCCGCUACAGGGCAGCGCCCCCCCCCCAUAGGGCUGCUAUAGGGCAGGGACCCCCCCCAUGGACUUGGCAAUGGGACCGGAACGCCCUCUUAUGGGGCACAGACUGUCCUAUGGGGCCGUGAACCCUCUAUGGGGCCGCUAUGGGUCCUGCAGUGGGGCAGUGACCCCCCCCAAAGGAGCCCCAUAGGGGUUCUGUGCCCCACUGCUGUUCCCCACUGCCCCACAGCCGGCAGCCCUGACCCCCCCACCCCACACAUCCCCCCCCCCCCCCGGGGGUCCCCGCGCCCCAUAUCCGUAAUCCCCAUUCCUGAUUUAGCCCCUAAUCCCGGGAUCGGCCUCGUUAACUCCCGGCCCUAACGAGAUUAGGGGCGCUCAGCCCCAUAGCGGGGGGUCUGGGGGUGUGGGGUGCACCGGGGGGUGGGGGGCGUGGUGAGAUUUGGGGUGCCCUAUAAGUUUGC